rnacentral:rRNA from 1 species
GACGAACGCUGGCGGCGUGGAUUAGGCAUGCAAGUCGAACGGUAGGAUACCUUCGGGUAUCUGAGAGUGGCGAACGGGUGAGUAACACGUAGGUGAUCUACCCUCAAGAUUGGGACAACCCAGGGAAACUUGGGCUAAUACCGGAUGAAAGCAGCAGUGAUGUUGUUUGAAAGGUGGCGUAAGCUGCCGUUUGGGGAUGAGCCUGCGCUCUAUUAGUUAGUUGGCGGGUAAAGGCCCACCAAGGCGAUGAUAGAUAGGCGGCCUUAACGGGUGGUCGCCCACACUGGGAUUGAGAUACGGCCCAGACUCCUACGGGAGGCAGCAGUCGAGAAUAGUCUACAAUGGCCGAAAGGCUGAUAGUGCGACGCCGCGUGAACGAAGAAGCCCUUCGGGGUGUAAAGUUCUUUUAUAUGUGAGCAGUGCUUUCUAUGUGAACAGCAUGGGGAGAGAGAUAUUAGCAUAUGAAUAAGCAACGGCUAACUCCGUG